AGAUUGAACGCUGGCGGCAUGCCUUACACAUGCAAGUCGAACGCGAAAGGGGGAGCAAUCCCCCAAGUAGAGUGGCGAACGGGUGAGUAAUACAUCGGAACGUAUCCAGUAGCGGGGGAUAACCUCUCGAAAGAGAGGCUAAUACCGCAUACGACCUACGGGUGAAAGAGGGGGAUCGCAAGACCUCUCACUAUUGGAGCGGCCGAUGUCGGAUUAGCUAGUUGGCGGGUAAAAGCCCACCAAGGCUACGAUCCGUAGCUGGUCUGAGAGGACGACCAGCCACACUGGAACUGAGACACGGUCCAGACUCCUACGGGAGGCAGCAGUGGGAAUUUGGACAAUGGGCGCAAGCCUGAUCCAGCCAUGCCGCGUGAGUGAAGAAGGCCUUCGGGUUGUAAGCUCUUUCGGCGGGACGAAAGGUCCGUGUUAACACCAUGAUCCAUGACGUACCGCAGAAGAAGCACCGGCUAACUACGUAGCCAGCACGCCGC
rnacentral:rRNA from 1 species